rnacentral:rRNA from 1 species
AACUAACGCUGGCGGCGUGCCUAACACAUGCAAGUCGUACGAGAAAGUCGGCUUCGGCUGAUGAGUAAAGUGGCGCACGGGUGAGUAACGCGUGGAUAAUCUGCCUUUUAGUUGGGAAUAACGUACCGAAAGGUGCGCUAAUACCGGAUAAUACUGCAUAACUACUGUUGUGUAGUCAAAGAAGGCCUCUGUUUACAAGCUUUUGCUGAAAGAUGAGUCCGCGUACCAUUAGCUAGUUGGUAGGGUAAUGGCCUACCAAGGCUACGAUGGUUAGCUGGUCCGGGAGGAUGAUCAGCCACACUGGAACUGAGACACGGUCCAGACUCCUACGGGAGGCAGCAGUGAGGAAUAUUGCGCAAUGGGGGCAACCCUGACGCAGCAACGCCGCGUGAGUGAGGAAGGUUUUCGGACCGUAAAGCUCUGUCGAGCGGGAAGAAAUGUAUCGUGGCUAAUAUCCAUGAUAUUUGACGGUACCGCUAAAGGAAGCACCGGCUAACUCCGUGCCAGCCGCCGCAGUAA